AGUUGUGGAAAUUGGUGAAUAGUCCCUCCCUUCCUUAAUGGAAAGAAAAGAAUGAAUGAAGAUUGGGAUAACAAACCGAUAAAGGGAGCGAGACUUUGUCGUUGCAGGGGGACAAAGGUGCCAAUCACCAGUUUCAAGACUCUUUGCUGCCGUAUACCUUCUGUUCAUCAGCUGCAGCCGUUACAUCCUUCUUCGUCACGGAUCUGCUCAAGUUCCCGCAUAGCUCCCGCGCGCAAAAGAAAGAUGGAGAGGCACAUCCAUUGUUUGUCCCUCUGCCGUGCAAGUUUCAAUGUCGUCGUGUGGCUUCUCAACCGUCCCGGUAUCGUCGUCUUCAACCUUCUUCCCUUGCUCUGUUGUGC